UGCGGCUCAGAGAGCGGUGCUGGGCGCCAGGACGGACUUGCUAACAUUUCUGGCACCCCUGGCUGCUCUCCGUGGAUGCCGGCUGAGUCACCGAGGAGGUGUCCCCCCAGCGAAGGUCAGGGGCAGGCCUGGAGGCGGGACGGCUUGCCUCGGCACUGCCGAGUCCCUAGCAGAGGCCUGGCGUGGGGCUUGCAGCCGGCAGCCCAGAGGGUGGGGAUUUCAACACGGCAACCUUCAGAGGACAGACGCAUUCAGACCGUGACGGUGUGGUGAGGCCCCGCAGAUCAGGGGACAGCAACCACGUCUGGAAAGUUAUAAUCAGGACCCCCAAGAGGAGGUGCCACCCCACGCAAGCCAACCGGGGCCACGGGGGAAGCACCAGGAAGGCCUCUCGCCCAGCCCAGAAGCUUCCAGCUCGCCGAUCCUGGACUUGCUGGCCUCCGGCUCUGCAACAAUAAUGUUCUGUUCUUCAUAAGCCCCUGUCGGGGACACUCCGCUGUAGGAGCCAGAAUGGCCCUGGGGGUCCGGGGGCAGUCUCUCCAGGGUCAGCAAGGCCCCCGGAUAUCAAAACAUGAGAAAAGACAGAAAACGCAGGGUCUGAUUAACAGGGUGUUUUUGGCUCAUGGCUUGGGAGAGCAGAGGACCUGCCUUUAACAGUGUCCCCACAGCAGGUGGCGGGAGGCUCGGGUCCUCCGCACACGGUCUCUCCGUGGGGCCGCAGGGGUGCCUGUGCCUGACCCCUGCAGCGUGCGUGACCCCAGAGCGGCAGUCAGGAGCCAUAGGGACGUUCUACGAACUUGUCUCUGAAAUCUCACACCACCCCUCCGCCUGCUUCUCUGUGUUAGAGGCCGGCCGCGGGUCCCCCCGCCCCGGGGGGAGGGUGAUUGAGUCCACCUCUUGCAGGGAGGAGAAAGGACCCGUGGAUAUAUUUAAAGCCACCGCAGGGGCUGGGCCAGGCCCUAUUUCCGCUCCUCUCUCGCCCAAGACCCUCUGCCCCACCCCUUGCUUUUUAACCAAAGGCUCAGGUCAGAAGCACCAAGGAAGGUUGCUUCCCAUCCAGAUGCCCAGGACACAUGGUCAGACCGUGAAAACCACCCUGGGGUCACGCCCAAGUUUGCCCUGCCCCCCCCCCCGCCCCCGGGGGCCGCGCACAGGGCAUGCGCACAGGGCAUCCGCACGGGCUCCUUGAGUCGCUUUCUUGGUCUGCCGUGACCUCGGUCCGCAUCAUCUCGGGAACACUUUACUCCCGUCCCCAGCCAGCAUCGAUGCCCCGGGCUCCGUGAACCCCUCCCAGAGCCCUUGUCCAGCACAAGGACCUGCUCCGUCUCGGUGUCCCAGGAUCCCUCUGGCCGCACCCCAUGAGGCCUGGAGCACGGGGUGAUAGCAGGGAGGGUGUGCUUUUCUUAAUCACUGGGCCGGAGACCCUCAAAGGGAGACACUGACACGUCUACACUCGCGUCUGCACCAUCUGACCCCAGGGAACGGUCACCUUAUUCUGGCCAAAUGAGCGACCGAGGGAGAAGCGAGAGGUCAGUCUCUGGAGACAUUUGGGGAAAGGGCAGGUUUCCCUCGGAACAGCCAACCUCGUGCAGCCGUGGGCUUUUGUCAAGACCACCCACGAACCCUCCCGGCCGAGGCCGGCUCCGAUGCACGGUGUUUACCCCUGGUCCUACUUGAGCUGGGCUCGUUUCUCUCGGGAACUUGACUUCCGUGUCCUCCAGCUUGACUUAGCGCCCCAGGCCCGCGCCAGCAUUCCCUGCAUGACCCGUCCCUGAGCAGCACCCACACAGCCGGACCAUUGCCUGUACUCGCCCACGACUGCUCACCAGCUCCUGAGAGCAGGGCUGGGGCUUCCGCCCCCUAGUCUCCGCGGCUUUGACACGAAGCAUCCAGGAGCUGUGUGUGAGCUGAUGGGUGUUUCCAGCACGUUCACCUGUUGCAGCAACACAUCCUAUCCCUGUACAAAGACAGAUCACA